rnacentral:rRNA from 1 species
CUGGCUCAGGAUGAACGCUGGCGGCGUGCCUAAUACAUGCAAGUCGAGCGAACGGACGAGAAGCUUGCUUCUCUGAUGUUAGCGGCGGACGGGUGAGUAACACGUGGAUAACCUACCUAUAAGACUGGGAUAACUUCGGGAAACCGGAGCUAAUACCGGAUAAUAUUUUGAACCGCAUGGUUCAAAAGUGAAAGACGGUCUUGCUGUCACUUAUAGAUGGAUCCGCGCUGCAUUAGCUAGUUGGUAAGGUAACGGCUUACCAAGGCAACGAUGCAUAGCCGACCUGAGAGGGUGAUCGGCCACACUGGAACUGAGACACGGUCCAGACUCCUACGGGAGGCAGCAGUAGGGAAUCUUCCGCAAUGGGCGAAAGCCUGACGGAGCAACGCCGCGUGAGUGAUGAAGGUCUUCGGAUCGUAAAACUCUGUUAUUAGGGAAGAACAUAUGUGUAAGUAACUGUGCACAUCUUGACGGUACCUAAUCAGAAAGCCACGGCUAACUACGUGCCAGCAGCCGCGGUAAUACGUAGGUGGCAAGCGUUAUCCGGAAUUAUUGGGCGUAAAGCGCGCGUAGGCGGUUUUUUAAGUCUGAUGUGAAAGCCCACGGCUCAACCGUGGAGGGUCAUUGGAAACUGGAAAACUUGAGUGCAGAAGAGGAAAGUGGAAUUCCAUGUGUAGCGGUGAAAUGCGCAGAGAUAUGGAGGAACACCAGUGGCGAAGGCGACUUUCUGGUCUGUAACUGACGCUGAUGUGCGAAAGCGUGGGGAUCAAACAGGAUUAGAUACCCUGGUAGUCCACGCCGUAAACGAUGAGUGCUAAGUGUUAGGGGGUUUCCGCCCCUUAGUGCUGCAGCUAACGCAUUAAGCACUCCGCCUGGGGAGUACGACCGCAAGGUUGAAACUCAAAGGAAUUGACGGGGACCCGCACAAGCGGUGGAGCAUGUGGUUUAAUUCGAAGCA